ACAUGACUAUCAGCAUGUGACACCAGAAUUUAAGAUGGCUGCAUGCUACCACAGUUCUCCAAGUUCCUUGGUUCUCCUUUUUCAUCUAACAGUAUACAACAACCAGGCUGGUCAGCAGAACAGAGGAAACAAUCACUCCUGCUCUCUUUCAGUUGGAGAGAAGAUAAUACGGAAGCAAAACAAAACUUCCUCUCAUAAGCUUUGAUAGAUGCAGGUUCAGGUCCAGGUUAUGGUGCCUUCUGUGAGGAAAUGAAGGUUUACCUCAGGAUCCAUAGAACCCUGUUUUCUUUUGCUUUUCCCCAUUAGAAGACAUACUAUACCAGACUUAGAUGAUUUUCAGCAAAAGCAGCACUAUGGUUACACAUGUAAGGACCUGCUGAUUUUGUUACCAGGAUAGCAGCUUCACAGCAACAAAGCAUUUG